AUGUCGGUUGCAAAGUCCCGGGGUCAUGUGAUUUCCCCUUUGGCGACCUUCGGACCAGCAAAGUCGAUAGGGAAGCCAGAUGCGUUGUACAACUGUGUUAUUAACUCAACAACUGCAAUGCUCCACUUAACAACUGUGACAAGGCAAAGCUCUGCACAUGCGCACACUGGGAACAGGCUCCCACUGUUCUUCUGCCUUGAUGAUGUCAGACACCGGAGGCUCUACCAGAUGGCCUUGGCCCCCUCUCUGCCUCCGACACAGAGCAUUCAUCCGAGCCUUCCCCAGGCUCCAGGACUGAUUCAUGUUCCUCCCCAACCUCCUCACUGUACGAACCUGCUGCCGGCUGGUGGGCCACAAGAAGCCCUUGAAGUUGCAGGUCAAAGUAACUUGCCUGUUUGUCUGAACCCGUGAGAAUCCAGACAGCUUUUCUUAUCCUUUGGAAUGACCUUUCUGCAAACACGAAAAGCUUUUCGGCAUUUCUCACAAUGUAAGGUGGGCCAGGAGUGUUGAGCUAUUAUGCAAACCCUCGUUCUGCGACACCGCAGGAGGAAAGCAGAGUUAAGUCUGAGAGUAUUUUCUUUUUUUUUCAUUUAAAGCUUUUUCCAGAGCCGCAGUUCACUUCCCCAGAUUUGCAGAGGGUUUAAACCGAGAGCUGCAACGGUUCAGGAAAGUUUUUGAAUACAAUUUGUCAGUCAGGGAAAGUGCCGGCGGCCUCCUCAUUCUUUCCUAGCCCUAACCUUUGGCAAAAACAGAAGUUUCAUUGUGCUGGUCGAUUUCUGACUUUUGCGUUUUAUCAUGCUGCUCUGCCACCAAAUAAAGAUGUGUUCUUUCUGUUCUAGUUUUA